rnacentral:lncRNA from 1 species
UGCUACUCUGAGGACUCAUGCUGUGCCACUUUUCUUGGCAUGAACUGUCCCCCUACCCCCCUUUUUUUCCUCCUGUUGAGGGAAACUAUUAGUAUAAACUUUGCACAAAGAAGAUGUUAAAGAAGCCUGCAACACAAUGCCUUCUGUAAAAGUUACCUCCUAUGGAAACACCCAUGUAAGACUUCAUACUUCAUUAGCCACCAUGAAACACUCAGCUAUUAUCCAUGAUGUAACUAAGCAACACCACCUUCAUGUUAUUGAUGGGUCUGAGUGCACACAGAUCUUGCUGACUGGGACGAGCAUUGGUACACUCCCCUGUAACUGCAAAUUCCAUAGGAACCUUUCAAAAGUUGAUCUGAGAGUACUUGGAAAGGCUAGUCCGUCACCUUUUCCUGUGCAUGGGACACAGCUGGGAUCACCACAGAUCCAGCUGAGCACCCAGCACUCCCACACAGCCUGUGAUGCCAGGCUCUGA